AGAGUUUGAUCAUGGCUCAGAAUGAACGCUGGCGGCAGGCCUAACACAUGCAAGUCGAACGAGGUAGCAAUACCUAGUGGCGGACGGGUGAGUAACACGUGGGAACGUACCCUUUGCUACGGAAUAGCCCUGGGAAACUGGGAGUAAUACCGUAUGAGCCCGAGAGGGGAAAGAUUUAUCGGCAAAGGAUCGGCCCGCGUUGGAUUAGGUAGUUGGUGGGGUAAUGGCCUACCAAGCCGACGAUCCAUAGCUGGUUUGAGAGGAUGAUCAGCCACACUGGGACUGAGACACGGCCCAGACUCCUACGGGAGGCAGCAGUGGGGAAUCUUAGACAAUGGGGGAAACCCUGAUCUAGCCAUGCCGCGUGAUCGAUGAAGGCCUUAGGGUUGUAAAGAUCUUUCAGGUGGGAAGAUAAUGACUGUACCACCAGAAGAAGCCCCGGCUAACUCCGUG
rnacentral:rRNA from 1 species